rnacentral:rRNA from 1 species
GAUGAACGCUGGCGGCGUGCCUAAUACAUGCAAGUCGAGCGAACAGAUGAGGAGCUUGCUCCUCUGACGUUAGCGGCGGACGGGUGAGUAACACGUGGAUAACCUACCUAUAUGACUGGGAUAACUUCGGGAAACCGGAGCUAAUACCGGAUAAUCUAUUGAACCGCAUGGUUCAAUAGUGAAAGACGGUUUUGCUGUCACUUAUAGCUGGAUCCGCGCCGCAUUAGCUAGUUGGUAAGGUAACGGCUUACCAAGGCUACGAUGCGUAGCCGACCUGAGAGGGUGAUCGGCCACACUGGAGCUGAGACACGGUCCAGGCUACUGCGGUAGGCAGCAGUAGGGAAUCUGCCGCAAUAGGCGAAAGCCUGACAGAGCAGCGCCGCGUGAGUGAUAGAGGUCUUCGGAUCGUAAAACUCGGUUAUUGGGGGAGAACAAAUGUGUAAGUAACUAUGCACGUCGUGACGGUACCUUGUCAGAAAGCAACGGCUAACUACGUG